UACGAAGGGGGCUAGCGUUGCUCGGAAUUACUGGGAGUAAAGCGCACGUAGGCGGCUUGUUAAGUCAGGGGUGAAAUCCUGGAGCUCAACUCCAGAACUGCCUUUGAUACUGGCGAGCUUGAGUUCGGGAGAGGUGAGUGGAACUGCGAGUGUAGAGGUGAAAUUCGUAGAUAUUCGCAAGAACACCAGUGGCGAAGGCGGCUCACUGGCCCGAUACUGACGCUGAGGUGCGAAAGCGUGGGGAGCAAACAGG
rnacentral:rRNA from 1 species